GCCUAGUUAGCUUAGUUGGUAGUGCGUCUGCCUUGUAACGCAGGCGCCCGUGGGGGUUCAAUUCCCGCCCGGGGCG
rnacentral:tRNA from 1 species